GACGAACGCUGGCGGCGUGCUUAACACAUGCAAGUCGAACGGAAAGGCCCUGCUUUUGUGGGGUGCUCGAGUGGCGAACGGGUGAGUAACACGUGAGUAACCUGCCCUUGACUUUGGGAUAACUUCAGGAAACUGGGGCUAAUACCGGAUAGGAGCUCCUGCUGCAUGGUGAGGGUUGGAAAGUUUCGGCGGUUGGGGAUGGACUCGCGGCUUAUCAGCUUGUUGGGGGGGUAGUGGCUUACCAAGGCUUUGACGGUUAGCCGGCCUGAGAGGGUUACCGGCCACAUUGGGACUGAGAUACGGCCCAGACUCCACCGGGCGGCCGACGUGGGGCGUCUUGCCCCGUGGGCGGCAGACUGCUGCCACAACGCCGCGUGCGGGAUGACGGCCUUCGGGUUGUACCCCGCUUUCGCCUGUGCCGCCGCGUGCGUGCCGGUCCUGGGUCCCGCCGCCCCGGCUCGCUACGUG
rnacentral:rRNA from 1 species